GCCUUUUCCACUCAUUCUAGAAUUGUCUUGUUAAGCAAAGGCGAACUUGAAUAGAAAAUCAGCUUCGACCUCGAUAACAAAUAGAGCUCUGCAGUUCUCAAACAUUUCAGCAUCAUAGCAAGAGUGGCAGGAGAGAAAAGGAGUGUUCAGAGGCAGCCUGAGCUGCCCGUGGUCCCAACACAUCCUUUCUAAGCCAUCCUGGCCAAGGGCACCACCACCACGUGUGCUUUCUGUGGCAGCCUCAGCACAGAGAAGCCACUGGCACUGCUGGGCCCUUCUGAAGAGGAAAAGACAUCCAGAGCAUCUGUUGUUCUGAUAUUCUGCAUAUUAUAUUGCCUUUACCAAGAGAUAGCAACACAGAGUUUUGUGGUAGAACUUUUUGAAAACAUUUCUUGCCUUUUGAAACUGUCUGUGAACUCAGAACUUUUGGGGUGAAUUUGCCUUUUUUCUCUUUAAUCAUUAGUAUAUUGAAAGCUUCUACUGGACUGGAAGGAUUUAACAUGAGGCAAAAAGUUACUUAUCAGAGCGCAAACUGCAAAGAACUGUCUGGUGCAGAGGGUCCUCUUGUGGACCCAGUGUUAUCUAACCCUCGGGAUAUUUGGCUGGAAGAGUUUUCAGAUGACACAUAAUCCGACUCGUUUUGAUAGAUGAGGAUGAAGUUCCUUAUCUUGACAAGGAGAUCAAGAGCAGGAACCAACUCAGCUACCUGCCGACAGAUAAGAGGGAGCUUUCCCUGCUGAUGCUCUGAAGCUUUGACUCCUCAGUCAGAGAUAUUCCCGGGCGGCAGUAACAUAAAGAUUGCUACCUGACCCUAGCUGGGAAGUGCCUACUCGUUCCUGUUUGGCCUCUUCAAAAUAUGUUUGUCUAAUUUUAUUUAUAGGGAAGUCCAAGAGAAGAAGGCAAAACUUUCUACCUAGUGAAUUGCUUCCUCUAGGUGGCUGCAGUAAAAUUGUGGUGUAUGCUUGAUUUUUUUUUUUUGGUCUCAAGAAACCGUCAAACAGGGGCAUUUGGGAAUGACAGACAUCUAAUCAGCAUGUUUGCUGCUGGUUUAGGAUCUGCUGAUUGUUAAUACAAUGGCGCCUCUGCUGUUUCAUAAAGGUCAUGCUGUCACAUAAAUCUUGUCUGCUGAGGAUCAUUCACCUAGAGAAAUUGAAAUAGAGACAUACGUGGCAGCUGUCACUUUGGCCUUCCUCUUAACCUAGCUCUGCAAACACAGGAGAAACGUCCUUCAGGAGGCUAGUUAUGAAUGUGAGGAAUGCCCCAGUGAUCCAGUGGAUGUGAGCUUAGGACUUUACAUUCUGUCUUCUUGUCCAAACCUCUUGAAAGGCCCUGUUUUCGGGGUGAUGCCAUUCAUGUCAUGGAUGAGAGGACUUUAAUGACUGUUGGCAGAGAGCUAUAAUGUUCCGGUUAAGAGAGCAGAGGUGAACAGCUGUGGAAUUUACUCAUAUGAGUAUCAAGGCAAGAUUCUUAAUGGAAAUUUUCAAUUUUGGGGAGUCUAAUGAAGUGUUUUGAGAGAUUUCAUGAUCAAAAUUUGAAAUCAUUCCAUGGACUUUUGAAUAAAAUCUGUUUUCCCUAUUUGU